AUACUUACUUGGCAGGGGAGAUACCAUCAUCAUGAAGGUGGUUUUCCCAGGAUGAGGCUUAUCCAUUGCACUCUGGAUGUGCUGACCCCUGAGUUUCCCCCAAAUGUGGGAAGCUCGACUGCAUUAUUUGUGGUAGUCUGGGACUGCAUUCGUGCUCCCCUCNN
ensembl:snRNA U1 U1 spliceosomal RNA